GGCUCUGUCAAUCAUAGCCAGGAGAGGUGUGGCUAGGGCUGCAUAAACAGAAACAACGUGAUUUAACUUCUAAAUGACAGUGAAUUGAGAAGUGAAAUUGCAGGGGAAUGAUUUAUACACUAAAACUGGGGGUUGGGGAAACUAGCCUUUCUCUUGGAAUGUCCAAGGUUAUUGUGUCUUGGGAUAAGAAUAAAGGACCCUGGGGAUAAUUAGCUUAACCUAAUUUACAUUCUAUCCCAGUUCAUACACUUAUUGGUAUGAAUAAUUUGUAAAUACAUUUCAUGUGUGUGCUGUGUUUUUUUAAUAAAAGCUGGAGCUCAGAAAUGGUGAUCCUACAAGUUGCC